rnacentral:rRNA from 1 species
ACGCUCGACACCUACGGGAGACAGCAGUCGGGAAUAUUGCGCAAUGGAGGAAACUCUGACGCAGUGACGCCGCGUAUAGGAAGAAGGUUUUCGGAUUGUAAACUAUUGUCGUUAGGGAAGAUACAAGACAGUACCUAAGGAGGAAGCACCGGCUAACUAUGUGCCAGCAGCCGCGGUAAUCUGAGCGGGCUGGCAAGGC